rnacentral:lncRNA from 1 species
UUUCAGUCUCUUUAAUUACAUUUGAUAAAAUUUUAUAAUUUUCUUUUUAAAGAUCAUGCACCUCAUUUGUUAGAUUUAUUCCUAGGUACCUUAUUUUUAUGCUAUUACAAGUUAUAUAAAAGUGAUCUUUUACAAAUUAUAUAUUUUCGCUAUUUGUUGCAGUGUUUAGAAUACUACCAAUUUUUGCAUAUUGAUCUCAAAGCCAUAGCAGAAUAUCAUACUACCUUAUCAUAAUAGCAGACAUUCAUAUAACUUACUAUGUGUCAGGCACUGUUCUAGGCAUUUUACAUGGAUGACAUGCAUUCAAUCUCACAAUGACCCAGUGAGGGAGAUCUUAUUAUUAUAAUUAUUUAUAGUGAGGAAACUGAAGUCCAAAGAAGUGCAGAGAACUUAAGUAGAUUCCAUCAUAAGUGGUGAAGCCAGGAUUCAAACUCAUUCUCCAGCAUCCAGGGCUAUACUCGUGGUACUGCAUUUACUUCUUACUCUUGGUAAGCCCUGUUAUUAAUUCCGAUAAUAUGCCUGUCUAUUCUCAGGUUUUCCAUGCAAACAACGAUAAUAAAUACCUUAAAAUCAGCUAGCAAACACACAAAUGGUUAAUGCCAUAGUAAAGUGUGUAGGAUGUGUGUGUGUGUGUGUGUGUGUGGAGAGUGUGUUUUGGGGUAUGUGUAUAAAGUGUGUGUAUAGUGUGUGUAUAGAGCGUGGUUGUUCCGUGGUAUAGAAUGUGUGUGAGUAUGUAUGUUUGGCUCGUGUGUGUAGUGUGCGUGCGGGUGUGUCUAUGUUUGUGUGUGUGUAGAGUGUGGUUGUUUGCGAUGUGUGUGGUGUGUGUGUAGAGUAUGUAUGUUUUGGGUUUGUGUAUGUGGAGUGUAUGUGUGGAUUGUGUGCCUGUGUGUAUGGGGUGUGUGUGGCGUGUGUGUAGAGUGUAUGUUGGGAUGUGUGUGUGGAGCGUGUGUGUGCACGUGUGUGUAUGUUUGUGUGUGUGUGUAGUAUGUGUGUAGUUUGUGUGUGUGUAUUUUUGGAUGUGUGUGUAUGGGUGUGUGUGUAAUGUGUGUGUAGUUUGCGCAUGUGUGUGUUUAUUUGGGUGUGUGUGUGUGGAGUGUGUGUGCAUGUUUGGGUGUGUGUCUAUUGUGUGCAUGUGUAUGUAUAUUGGGGUGUGUGUGUGUGGAGUGUGUGUGUACGUGUAUGUUUGGGUGUGUGUGGAGUGUGUGUGCGCGUGUGUGUGUAUGUUUGGGGUAUGUGUGUGUAGCGUGUCUGUGUGUGUGUUUGGAUGGGGAACGUUAUAAAGAGCACCAUUCUCAAAGCGCAGGGAAUUCGCGAGCCCUGGGGAUCGCUGGUCUACUUCCUAAGCAGCAAGGAAUGUUAUGCAUUUCAGCGCUUGCUAAGUCAGUGCGUCCUCAGAGAGGGCUUGCAGGCUCCAGGGAGGCCUGCAUAAGGAGUGAGGCCUGGGCCAAGCCCAACAGAAAGUGUCAAAUAACAGGCCUGCCCCUUCCCCACCCUCCACCCCCAGAUUUGGGCUGAAUCAAAGGGCCAUUCAAGCCCCUCCCUUUCACAGGCCGAGGCCAUCAGCGGGCCAUCCCCUGAGGCUGAAACGCAGCAAUCCCACGGGCUUCUGCUCCAAACAGGCUUGUAUUUGAAACCACAAUAUACUUGGCUCUAGUUUUACACACAUUACUUUCCUGGUGCUAAAAAAAAAAAAAAAAAAAAAGGAAUUACAAGAAUGAAAGGGAGAGUUCUUGGGAGAUAGGGAAUUCUUUUUCCAGUCUAGUGAAUGCGGUUAAUAAGUGGAAAAAUAAAACUACUCUCCGUGAAGGGUCUUUGGAAGGGUUACCAGGACACGACAAUUAAAAACAAAUUAAAAGGCUGUAUCAUUCACUCAGCCUCAGUCGCCUCCCACAGUCCUGAGGGAAAUGAAUCUGCUUCAGUGCAUUGGAGGGGUAACCGCUCUUCCUGAAUGGUGUCGGGUAGGAGGAGGGAUACCUGUGUAUGUUCCUCUGUGGCGUCCCAAAUGCUCCUUCAUGAAUUGAGGAAUUGACUGGACAGUCAUUCCCCUAGACCUCACUACAAAUUAGACUUUUGUUCACCUGUUUCAAACGAAUGUUUUUUAGUGCUUUGCAUAGUGUGAAAAACAAUAACAAACCCCAGGGUUUGGGUCAUCUUGGAUGAGUCACUUGAAUCUCUGUGGCUCUCAGUUUCCUCUCUGUAAAAUGAAAGUGUAAACUAGAUCAGUGGUUUUCAAACAGUACUCUCCUGAGUCCUCCCUGAAGCUAGAACAACUAGGAGGAAGAGAAAUGGAAGAAUUAACUGAGCAAUUUAGCCCGUUUGCGUCUGUCGUCUUUGACUUCAGACCAUUUUCAAUACAAUCUGGUUGAGCAGUUAAUUCUAACAAACCUGGUUCUGGGAUUUGCUAAUCUCUCAACAAUUCCAGGUGACUCCCAAAGCAGGAGCCACAGUCUCUGCACGGGCUUGACCCAUAUUGUCAUGUUUUGGAAGGUGUGGAAGAUUCCUGCCAACAUCAUAGCAUCAUGUUAUUCUCAAGGAGACUAAGGAAGACUUAAAACAACCCAUGUGGGUGCAGAAGGUGGCCCCGUGGCCUGUGUUGAAGUGGGAUCUCACAGAUCCACAUUGUAUUUUCACAAAUACAUGUGAGAUUUUCCACGAGAUUCUGCAAGAAUUUCCCUGUGAGUCCUUUCUUGAGUUCCAAAGUUGGGUAAUGAUGAAACAGAAGAGUUCCCUGACCCCUCUCACAGGACGUGAAACAAGGGUGUGGCUUGUCUGUUAGAUUGCUGACACCACUCAAACCCCUUACAGGAUGGAAAGCAUGCAGAUGGGCAGGUGCAGGAGUCCAAGUGGGCACGUGUUACAAUGUGCUCUUUUAGCCGUCUGCGAAUGGCUUGAGUGUUAGCGAGCAAGGGCAGAGGGCCAGUGUGACAGCUUUAUGUAUCCCAAGCUCUUGUCCAGCAUCCUGGAAGAACUGGGUCACACAUGCACUUGAAGGAUAAAUGUGGGGGUCUUACUGAAUGGCGGAGGUGGCUCUCAGCAGGAUGGAUGGAGAACCUGAAGGGAGGACGGAGUAGGAAGAUGGGCUUCUCCUGGAGUUUGGCCUUCCGGCAGCUGAACCGCCCCGGGCUAAACUCUUAGUGUUGAGACAUUCCUCCUCUUCUCUCUUUCUGCCGCAGCAUUUUGACAUUCCUCUGCUUGUCUCCUUGUCUGCCCAUCUGCUUCUGGAACCUGGGGGUUUGGGGUUUAUAUGGGUACAGGAUAGGGGGGCAUGGCGGGCCAAAAGGCAAAUUUUGCAUUCAAAAACAGAAAUGCCUGUUUCCAUUUAGGGCCGAGGGUCUCUGGACUUCAGGGUGGGGCCUUUGCCAGGGAACCACCCUCUUCUACCCAGUAUUUCCCUGUCUCCUAUCCAUAUCAAUGAGGCUUUUCCUGUUUUCUAAAAUGCUUCAGUUAUUCACUAGUCUAGAAGUUAAAAUCAUUAGAGUUGUUGCUUGUUAACCUACUCUAUGGAUCCUCUCUCUUGUCUUGAGAUCAGAAACCAUGGCUUUUCACUAUGAAUCCCCAGACCUGGCAAAGUCCUUGCCCUACAGAGGUGACUGUUUUCCAAAAAUAGAAACAGCAGUAUUUCCAGUUUCACAUGUUUUUCCACAAACUUUCCAUUUCCCAUCAUGAGGCAGAAUCUAUUCGUCUUCUCCAGAGACUCAGGAUUGGGGAAGGGCUGACUCCGUGACUGUCUUGAUAAUUGGAAUGCUACAGAUUGCUUGACUUCCAAGGCUAUGUUAUAAAAAGCAAUUAGGCUUCUGCCUGCAGCUCUCUCCCUAGGGAUGUUCACCCUUGAAACCAGCCACUGGGUUAUGAGGAAGCCUCAACUAGCUCAUGUGGAGGGUGAAAGAUGCCCCCAGCCAACAGCCAGCUUCACCCACCAGGAUAGAUGAGUGAAUUAAUGAGCCUUCAGUUGAUCCCAUCCUCCAGUUCUCAAGUCUUCCAGCUGAAUCCUCAGACAUUGCAGAGCAGAGACGGGGUAUCCUUGGUGUGCCAUGGCCAAGUCUUAACCCACACAGUUGAGUCU